UGCGCCAACAACUUGCUAUUUCGGUCAAGUAAGGUCAUGACGCCGACGUGAAUCCUGGCGUCGCAGUCGUUCUCGUCGAGCCGCCCGAGGCUGACGAUGCUCGUCUUCAGUCGAGGGAUAAAGUAGACCUCCGUCAGCGCGCGAUGCUCACCGGAGCGGAUUGAGAAGAGGACGGAGCCGCGCCCUUUGAUGUCGACAAGCGACCCGUCCCCAAACUUCACCUUGCCAAUCACGUUCCAGUCCAGCUCCGCGAAUGCCGAUACGUCGCCGGACAUGUGGUUGGAGGCGCCGGAGUCAAGGUACCAAUGCCCAUCGCAGCCCUCCUGGCCGCGUUGCAGAUGCGCCUCAGCACGGCGCUCGUUGAGGAAGACUUG
rnacentral:lncRNA from 1 species